CCCUCAUUUGCCAGAUUUGGUGAAGCUUGGAGUUAGCUCGAUUGCGAGAAUCGGACGCUUUCAGUCAACCCAGCAGGUGGUGUCGCAGCUGAGGGGAGUGUUCCGCUGCCUGGGAUUAGCGUGCGAGAGCCACAGGUUCCGGCUGCUGCACCGUCCGUGGAUC